GACAGAGGUCCCGAGCGUUAGGCGGAAUCACUGGGCUUAAAGCGUGUGUAGGCGGACUUCUAAGUACCUUGUGAAAUCCCACGGCUUAACCGUGGAACUGCUUGGUAUACUGGUUGUCUUGGGCCAUCUAGGGGCUACUGGAACAAACGGUGGAGCGGUGAAAUGCGUAGAUAUCGUUUGGAACGCCAAUGGUGAAAACAAGUAGCUGGGGAUGUGCCGACGCUGAGACACGAAAGCCAGGGGAGCAAACGGG
rnacentral:rRNA from 1 species